GUUUCUGAUAUUUCAUUACUACAAAUUAUUCUACAAUAUACAACUUUAUUUAUAUCCUUAUGAAAUGUGCAGGACAUUUUCUAGGAUGUACGCUUAUGAGUAGAACUGCUGAGUCACAGGUAGGAGCAUCUUCAGUUUCGUGCUAGACUGUCAGGAUUAUAAAUUGGUCCUUAGUCUGUACUCUUUUCCCAGUAUAAAAGAGUUUUUAUUUAUUCACAUUGUAAACUACAUUUGGAAAGGUCAAACUUUAAAUUUUUUUUCUACUCUUGUUGGUGUAAAAUAAUACAGCAUUUUAAACUUUUUAUUUUCUUGGUUAUGAGAUGAGGCAUAAUUUUAAUUUUUUUAAACAUUCAAGCUUGCUCUUCUCUGAAUUGCUUUCCAUGUAGAUGGUACACUUGUUUACUAAGUUGGUUAUUCAUUUUUUCUUGUUCACUUUAAUAAAUUCUUUUUACCAUUAUAGCUACCUAUUUUUAGUUACAUAAGUUAAAAAAAUUAUAUCUUUAGGUUUUAUGUGUCUAAUUGAUCUGUUUCCUUCAUGACUUUUUUAUGUUGUCUAAGAAAUUAUUUGCUUCCACAUUGUAAGGAAAAUAGUCAGUUACAUAUUCCUCUAAAAAUUUUAAACUUUUACUUUUCAGUCUGUGGUCUUGGAUCCAACAGGAUUAUUUUGGAGGGUACAGUUCAUGAUAGAGAAUCUCAUUGCAUUCUUACCAUAUGUAGAGCCAGUUGACCCAGCACCAAUUACUGCAGUGCUCACCUUUUCAUGAUUAAUUUGUACUGUUGCCUCUAUCACACAUUGUGUUUCCCUGUGGCUGUAGGUCUCUUUUUAGAUUCUUUUUAUUGACUCCUGUCCCAAUUAAAUAUUGUUCAAUACUGUGGCUUUAAAUGUGGUAGGUAAUGAGCCAAGCCUUUCUUCUCUGUUUUUCUGCUUUUCAAAUUCAACUUAGAAUAUAAAGAAAUACCUGAGGCUGGGUAAGUUAUAAAUAUUAUAAAAGAGGUUUCUUUGGCUCUUGGUUCAGCAGGAUGUACAAGGAACAUGCCACCAACAUCAGCUUCAGGUGAAGGCCUCAGAGAGCUUCCAGUCGUGGUGGAAGGGGAAUGGGAACUAGCAUGUCACAUGGCAGAGGAAGGAAAAGAGAGAGAAGGAGCUGCCAGGCUCUUUGAACAAUCAGACCUCAGGGUAACUAAUAGAGCGAGAGCUGAUUCAUUACCUCCAGGAAGGCACCAAGUCUUUAUGAGGGAUCCACCCCCUUGCCCCAAUACCUCCCACCACACCUCACCUCCAUCAUAGGGGAUCAAAUUUCAACAUGAGACUUGGAGGAGACAAAUAUCCAAACUGUAUCAGUUGGAGGAAAAAAGAGCUCUAAUUAUAUACAGCCUACCUUGAAUCCACCCUCGUACCUCCACACAUGAACACAUACCUGUAUUGCGAUGAUCCUAUCCAGCUGAUUCAAAAAGAUGCAUGGUGAGUAGCCUUGAUAACUAAUGCUCAGUCAAUGCAAUUGUAACUAAACUUCUGUUUUUAUCCAGAAUUGUUUUGUUGCUCUAAUUCACAUGCACUGUUUUACUUAGGGGAUGCUAACAUGCCAUAAUGGGUUUUCGGCAAUAUCCAUUAGCUUUGAGAGGGGCAAAUAAUGAAUAGGUAGACCACUUACCAUUUUGCAAAGGCUCAACAUAUAAAUUUUUAGACAUAUUUAAGCAGAACAG
rnacentral:lncRNA from 1 species